rnacentral:rRNA from 1 species
GGGUUGUGAGGUUAAGCGACUAAGCGUACACGGUGGAUGCCCUGGCAGUCAGAGGCGAUGAAGGACGUGCUAAUCUGCGAAAAGCGUCGGUAAGGUGAUAUGAACCGUUACAGCCGGCGAUGUCCGAAUGGGGAAACCCAGUGCAAUUCGUUGCACUAUCGUUAACUGAAUACAUAGGUUAACGAGGCGAACCGGGGGAACUGAAACAUCUAAGUACCCCGAGGAAAAGAAAUCAACCGAGAUUCCCCCAGUAGCGGCGAGCGAACGGGGAGCAGCCCGGAGUCUGAAUCAGCUUGUGUGUUAGUGGAAGCGUCUGGAAAGUCGCAGGGUACAGGGUGAUACUCCCGUACACUAAAACACACAGGCUGUGAACUCGAAGAGUAGGGCGGGACACGUGGUAUCCUGUCUGAAUAUGGGGGGACCAUCCUCCAAGGCUAAAUACUCCUGACUGACCGAUAGUGAACCAGUACCGUGAGGGAAAGGCGAAAAGAACCCCGGCGAGGGGAGUGAAAAAGAACCUGAAACCGUGUACGUACAAGCAGUAGGAGCCCACUAGUUGGGUGACUGCGUACCUUUUGUAUAAUGGGUCAGCGACUUAUAUUCUGUAGCAAGGUUAACCGAAUAGGGGAGCCGCAGGGAAACCGAGUCUUAACUGGGCGUUAAGUUGCAGGGUAUAGACCCGAAACCCGGUGAUCUAGCCAUGGGCAGGUUGAAGGUUGGGUAACACUAACUGGAGGACCGAACCGACUAAUGUUGAAAAAUUAGCGGAUGACUUGUGGCUGGGGGUGAAAGGCCAAUCAAACCGGGAGAUAGCUGGUUCUCCCCGAAAGCUAUUUAGGUAGCGCCUCGUGAACUCAUCUUCGGGGGUAGAGCACUGUUUCGGCUAGGGGGUCAUCCCGACUUACCAACCCGAUGCAAACUACGAAUACCGAAGAAUGUUAUCACGGGAGACACACGGCGGGUGCUAACGUCCGUCGUGAAGAGGGAAACAACCCAGACCGCCAGCUAAGGUCCCAAAGUCAUGGUUAAGUGGGAAACGAUGUGGGAAGGCCCAGACAGCCAGGAUGUUGGCUUAGAAGCAGCCAUCAUUUAAAGAAAGCGUAAUAGCUCACUGGUCGAGUCGGCCUGCGCGGAAGAUGUAACGGGGCUAAACCAUGCACCGAAGCUGCGGCAGCGACGCUUAUGCGUUGUUGGGUAGGGGAGCGUUCUGUAAGCCGUUGAAGGUGGCCUGUGAGGGUUGCUGGAGGUAUCAGAAGUGCGAAUGCUGACAUAAGUAACGAUAAUGCGGGUGAAAAACCCGCACGCCGGAAGACCAAGGGUUCCUGUCCAACGUUAAUCGGGGCAGGGUGAGUCGACCCCUAAGGCGAGGCCGAAAGGCGUAGUCGAUGGGAAACAGGUUAAUAUUCCUGUACUUGGUGUUACUGCGAAGGGGGGACGGAGAAGGCUAUGUUGGCCGGGCGACGGUUGUCCCGGUUUAAGCAUGUAGGCGGAUGUUCCAGGUAAAUCCGGAACGUCACUAACGCUGAGGUGUGAUGACGAGGCACUACGGUGCUGAAGUGACAAAUGCCCUGCUUCCAGGAAAAGCCUCUAAGCAUCAGGUAACAUCAAAUCGUACCCCAAACCGACACAGGUGGUCAGGUAGAGAAUACCAAGGCGCUUGAGAGAACUCGGGUGAAGGAACUAGGCAAAAUGGUGCCGUAACUUCGGGAGAAGGCACGCUGAUGGUAAGUGAAGUGACUUGCUCAUGGAGCUGAAAUCAGUCGAAGAUACCAGCUGGCUGCAACUGUUUAUUAAAAACACAGCACUGUGCAAACACGAAAGUGGACGUAUACGGUGUGACGCCUGCCCGGUGCCGGAAGGUUAAUUGAUGGGGUUAUCCUCGCGGAGAAGCUCUUGAUCGAAGCCCCGGUAAACGGCGGCCGUAACUAUAACGGUCCUAAGGUAGCGAAAUUCCUUGUCGGGUAAGUUCCGACCUGCACGAAUGGCGUAAUGAUGGCCAGGCUGUCUCCACCCGAGACUCAGUGAAAUUGAACUCGCUGUGAAGAUGCAGUGUACCCGCGGCAAGACGGAAAGACCCCGUGAACCUUUACUAUAGCUUGACACUGAACACUGGUCCUUGAUGUGUAGGAUAGGUGGGAGGCUUUGAAGUGUGGACGCCAGUCUGCAUGGAGCCGUCCUUGAAAUACCACCCUUUAAUGGCUGGUGUUCUAACGUGGGCCCGUGAUCCGGGUUGCGGACAGUGUCUGGUGGGUAGUUUGACUGGGGCGGUCUCCUCCUAAAGAGUAACGGAGGAGCACGAAGGUCAGCUAAUCCUGGUCGGACAUCAGGAGGUUAGUGCAAUGGCAUAAGCUGGCUUGACUGCGAGCGUGACGGCGCGAGCAGGUGCGAAAGCAGGUCAUAGUGAUCCGGUGGUUCUGAAUGGAAGGGCCAUCGCUCAACGGAUAAAAGGUACUCCGGGGAUAACAGGCUGAUACCGCCCAAGAGUUCAUAUCGACGGCGGUGUUUGGCACCUCGAUGUCGGCUCAUCACAUCCUGGGGCUGAAGUAGGUCCCAAGGGUAUGGCUGUUCGCCAUUUAAAGUGGUACGCGAGCUGGGUUUAGAACGUCGUGAGACAGUUCGGUCCCUAUCUGCCGUGGGCGCUGGAGAAUUGAGGGGGGCUGCUCCUAGUACGAGAGGACCGGAGUGGACGCAUCACUGGUGUUCGGGUUGUCAUGCCAAUGGCAUUGCCCGGUAGCUAAAUGCGGAAGAGAUAAGUGCUGAAAGCAUCUAAGCACGAAACUUGCCCCGAGAUGAGUUCUCCCUGACUCCUUGAGAGUCCUGAAGGAACGUUGAAGACGACGACGUUGAUAGGCCGGGUGUGUAAGCGCAGCGAUGCGUUGAGCUAACCGGUACUAAUGAACCGUGAGGCUUAACCUUACAACGCCGAAG